rnacentral:sRNA from 1 species
AUUAGCCGGCAUACCACCGUAAGAGAAACUCAAUCAGAAAAGAAAGUUUCACCAACAGAAAUUGUGCUUGAAUCUUUCCAUAAAGCAACGGCUAAUAAGGAGAAUGAAUUAUGCAGCGAUGUAGAAAGGCAGAAAAAUCCAGAAAAUUCAAAACUAUCUAUUGGGCAGCAAAAUGGGGGUUUGCGAAGUGAGAAAUCUAUAGCUUCACUGCAAGAAAUGACCAAAAAACAAGGCACAUCUUCAAACAAUAAAAAUGUCCUUUCAGUAGGUACAGCUGUGAAGGAUCUAAAACAAGAGCAAACUAAAUCCGCCAGUUCUUUGAUUACCACAGAAAUGUUACAGGAUAUACAGAGGCACAGCUCAAAAAAGAAGCUUCCCAGUUCAUUUCCAGCAGGAAUGGAUGUAGACAAAUUUUUGUUAUCAUUGCAUUAUGAUGAGUAAACAUUCUGGACACAUAAGAACAGUAGGUGUUAAAAACUCAUAUCCCUUAAACUGAGUGUAGGGAAUGGGAUAUUGACAGAAUCUGAAAGCAUGACCUGCACUUUCAUUGUACUGAAACUUCACUUUAUAUCUAAAUCAUGCUGUUUCUGAAACAGCUUCCUAGUUUGUAAAUAGACUUACUUGGUAUAUUUUUAUUUUGGGAAAAACGUUUGCAGAAAUGUAAGUAAAGCCAAUCUGCAAAACUGUAUAGCUUUGACAAUUCCAUAUUGUAAAUACUGUGUAAAUCUUGUUGAAAUAGAGGUUA